AAGGGCUUGGGGUCAUACCUCAGACCGAAGGUCUUCAAGGCCCUAAGUGGGGGUGAAAAUCCCCCAGCCCCUG
rnacentral:tRNA from 1 species